UGGAACGGAAAUCAGGUUGGGCAGCGU
rnacentral:piRNA from 1 species